AACAACGAGUUUUAAAACCACUUGAACGUGUUUAAACUUACUGCAAUUGUAUUGCGAACUUGAAAUACAACAAAAUUUAUUCACGAGGUUUGAUACUUGUAAAAAUGUUAUUUUUUCAGCCGGGUAUGUGGCGCGUACCUGUAAUCCUGCUUCUGGGAGGCUUGGUGUAGUGGAUGGCUUGAGGCUGGGAGUCCUGCUGGAUCGUCGCUUGCGUUGAACAGGUGUCCGCACUAAGCUUGGCAUCAACAUGGAUCGGUUGGAGGAAUCCGGCAGAUCCAGGUUAUCUAAGGAGGAGCGAAUCGGGCCAGGAGGGAAACCGAGCAGCCAAAAGUUCCCGUGUCGGGCAGUAGUGGGAUCGCGCCCGUGAGUAGGCGCCUUUCAGCAGCCCAGCCAAUAAAGUCACACCUACAUCUUUUUUCGUCUUUUUUCUAAUCAAAUUUCAUAGAAUUAGUAUUUUGUUGACUUUAUUUCACCAUAAAAUUUGUUUUCCGAAUUUUCAGCAUGCGGUUUCAGUCGGGGACAUCGGCCACACAAGCUAGCUAAAUUGAAUCACCCCUAAAUUGAAUCACCCCUAAAUUGAAACGUUCUCGUACUUGGCAGUGAUCCUUAUGAUGAAGUCGGAUGAAGUACGGGAACAAGGCCUCAUGAGUCAUGACAGCAGCGAGCAGCAGAAUUUAAUUUAUUUAAUGUUACAUUUUUACUGAUUGAAAAUAUUGCUAAUCAAAUUUUCGCUAUUAUUUCAGUAUAGUACAUCAGCAAAGAAAAUAAGCUGUUUAUUUUACAAGUUUGUGGCCUUCUGAUUUAGGAAUUCUGUGCCGAUUUCUUAGCCCAGUUAGUGGGCUGCAUGUGUGUUAAUGCGCUUUUGCCAAGACUAUCCUGCUGUCCAGUCAAGUAUUGAUUUGACUGUAGGACUAAGGACUUCACAGUUUACAGUAGCCUCCUGGUUCGACAAUUACGUUAUUCUGCUUUUAUUCUGCAGUGGCAAUGUCCCUCAAGGUAACUCUUCUUAUUUUUUCCGCCGAGAGUGACACCGGAAGUUGUGCUGGUCACGUACUCACGGCCCAUUUCAGCCGAUGGAUAAAUUUCAUACCAAUGGCCAAUGAUACCUCGAGGAAAUUCCCCACGUCUUGGAAAUGAAUAAAUUAUUUCUUUGGUGCGCCAAAUCAUGCAAAUCAUGCAUUGAUUAAUUAAAACUAGAAAUGAUUAGGCCUAGUAAAGGAAAUGACAAUAAAUCAAGUGUGGUGAA